rnacentral:rRNA from 1 species
GAUGAACGCUGGCGGCGUGCCUAAUACAUGCAAGUCGAGCGAACGGACGAGAAGCUUGCUUUUCUGAUGUUAGCGGCGGACGGGUGAGUAACACGUGGAUAACCUACCUAUAAGACUGGGAUAACUUCGGGAAACCGGAGCUAAUACCGGAUAAUAUUUUGAACCGCAUGGUUCAAAAGUGAAAGACGCUCUUGCUGUCACUUAUAGAUGGAUCCGCGCUGCAUUAGCUAGUUGGUAAGGUAACGGCUUACCAAGGCAACGAGGCAUAGCCGACCUGAGAGGGUGAUCGGCCACACUGGAACUGAGACACGGUCCAGACUCCUACGGGAGGCAGCAGUAGGGAAUCUUCCGCAAUGGGCGAAAGCCUGACGGAGCAACGCCGCGUGAGUGAUGAAGUUCUUCGGAUCGUAAAACUCUGUUAUUAGGGAAGAACAUAUGUGUAAGUAACUGUGCACAUCUUGACGGUACCUAAUCAGAAAGCCACGGCUAACUACGUG